rnacentral:lncRNA from 1 species
UUUUUUCUUUGCAGGUGAUGGUAGAGGGCGUCAGAUGCAUGGGGGAAGAGGUGGCAUGCGGCGGCAGCAAAGCUUAAGGUGGCUAGGGUUAGAUUUGGCUGAAAACUUGAGUUUAGGUUGUGGGCCACUUGGGCCACUAGGUUUUUAUUAUUAUUGGGCUGUUAAUUUUUUUAUAUUUUUGAUUUGUUUUGCUGGUAUGGGCCCGGGAAAAAAUGGGCUAUUACAAAAGCU